rnacentral:rRNA from 1 species
GACGAACGCUGGUGGCGCGCCUAACACAUGCAAGUCGAGCGGAGUUUAUCGACGGAACACUUCGGUGGGAAGAUGAUAAUACUUAGCGGCGGACGGGUGAGUAACACGUGAGCAACCUACCCUGGAGUGGGGAAUAACACUUGGAAACAGGUGCUAAUACCGCAUGAAGUAUAGAAUAGGCAUCUAUUCUAUACCAAAGAUUUAUCGCUCUGGGAUGGGCUCGCGCCUGAUUAGAUAGUUGGUGGGGUAAAGGCCUACCAAGUCGACGAUCAGUAGCCGGACUGAGAGGUUGAUCGGCCACAUUGGGACUGAGACACGGCCCAGACUCCUACGGGAGGCAGCAGUGGGGGAUAUUGCACAAUGGGGGAAACCCUGAUGCAGCGACGCCGCGUGAACGAUGACGGUCUUCGGAUUGUAAAGUUCUGUCAACGGGGACGAUAAUGACGGUACCCGUGGAGGAAGCCACGGCUAACUACGUGCCAGCCGCCGCCGUAACACCUAAG